AAAGGGGAAUGACUCCUAGAAAAAAAAUUGAAUCGUAAUUUCCUGUCGAUAUGCACAUCUAUGUAGUAUGUCCUUAUUAUCUGAAAAGGUUUCAUGAAAUUCUGUUGUGUGGUUUGAGAGGAGUUGCGAUGACAAAAGGUUGCAGUAGUAUAUUGGGCAAAUAAGUUCAAAGGGGCGUAACUCCUGGAAAAAAAAUUGAAUCGUAAUUUCCUGUCGAUAUGCACAUCUACGUAGUAUGUCCUUAUUAUCUGAAAAGGUUUCAUGAAAUUCUGUUGUGUGGUUUGAGAGGAGUUGCGAUGACAAAAGGUUGCAGUAGUAUAUUGGGCAAAUAAGUUCAAAGGGGCGUAACUCCUGGAAAAAAAAUUGAAUCAUAAUUUCCUGUCGAUAUGCACAUCUACGUAGUAUGUCCUUAUUAUCUGAAAAGGUUUCAUGAAAUUCUGUUGUGUGGUUUGAGAGGAGUUGCGAUGACAAAAGGUUGCAGUAGUAUAUUGGGCAAAUAAGUUCAAAGGGGCGCAACUCCUGGAAAAAAAAUUGAAUCGUAAUUUCCUG